rfam:Tribolium castaneum strain Georgia GA2 linkage group LG7, whole genome shotgun sequence.
AAGAUCACACUUCACAGGAUCAUUUCUGUAGUAUAUCUUCACAUACUCUACACUCAAACGUAGAGUUGACGCAACCACGAUGAUGAGUCGUAGUUCUGAUUCCUGAGCGUGAGGCAGAUGCAGAGAUAUUUUUCAAUAUCUGAGUCGUCAUCGAUGAUCGUUCACUCGCGCUUUUAUGUGUGAGCAUGGGAUCAGAGCAAUCCGAGCGGU